UUCCUUUUUUUGUUGUCAUGUGUCUUUUUAAUAAACAUGCAAUCGCCUUGGCCAUCUAUGCAAAAUGUAUUUUAUUUUACCAAAAGCUAUGAAUAGAGUACUGUUGAAAAGUGUAUCAGAAGAAAGAGUUACCUUUGCUGGAAAUUCUUGGCCAUCUCUUGGAAGGUAUAUUUUUUAUGGGGUUGCUCAAAUUUAAUGUAGUUGAGCAAUUUCUCUCAUUCUUAUUUUGUAUGAGUUUGUGUAGUAAUAAAUUUCCUCAACAUAUUGUUUGGAGGUUAAAAUGAUCAACUCAGCUCUCUGCUCCAUCAGAUUUGUUUAUUUGACCACUAUUCACUGCAUUAUUGUGAUCUUGAAUGGUGGAUUCUUUUCUCAGGUGCAUUAUACAUGUUUGCUUCAUGCAGGAUUAACAGACUGAACUCUGCUAGUUAUCUUUCUUUAAUAAGGCAAUAAUAAUGUAAAACUGAUUAUUACUGAGAAUGAAUCUUCUUCGUCUUCUUCGACAACAGAUUGUAUGCUUCUUCUUUUGUUACUAGUCCUACAUGGCUUUAUCAGAGCCCUGAUCAAUCUCAAGGUGAGACAAUCCCUCAGUUCCUGUUCUAGAGCAACAUCAAUACUAUAAUCGACAGCCACUCUAUUCUUCAGCUUCUUAUCAGAGUCAUUCUUCCCUACUAUUACUCAUGCACCACUUUAUUCCAGUUCUCAGCCUCAGGGUUAGACUUCUAGUACUCAUAGACAACUCUAUAAGAACUUUGAAGGUAGGGAAUUUAAUCAGACACCUGUUCAAGGACAGUUACCAUAUGCCUCUGGUUCUCCAUCAAAAGCCGUUUGCAUUUCUGAUCGUAAUUAGUUGUAGAUUUUAUUUCUAGGUGAAGACUUAUGAAGAGUUGAUGUUAGUUGGAAUUGGAGUUAUACUUG